GCCAGGCGUGGUGGUGCAUGCCUGUAAUCCCAGCUACUUGGGAGGCUGAGGCAGGAGAAUCGCUUGAACCCGGGAGGCAGAGGUUGCAGUGAGCCAAGAUCACGCCACUGCACUCCAGCCUGGGCAACAGAGCAAGACUCUGUCUCAA
rnacentral:SRP_RNA from 1 species